AGCUUUGCGCAGUGGCAGUAUCGUAGCCCAUGAGGUUUAAUUGAGUCGUGAUUAUUGCUAGUUGAAAACUUUACCCAAUACCCCGCUACACUGGCUUGAAAGAGUCUGUGUUAGCAAUUUUUGUCAGUCUUUGCAGAGA
rnacentral:snRNA from 1 species